rnacentral:rRNA from 1 species
AACCAACCGGGAUUGCCUCAGUAACGGCGAGUGAAGCGGCAAGAGCUCAAAUUUGAAAGCUGGCCCCUUCGGGGUCCGCGUUGUAAUUUGCAGAGGAUGCUUCGGGUGCGGCCCCUGUCUAAGUGCCCUGGAACGGGCCGUCAGAGAGGGUGAGAAUCCCGUCUUGGGCAGGGUGCCCGUGCCCGUGUGAAGCUCCUUCGACGAGUCGAGUUGUUUGGGAAUGCAGCUCUAAAUGGGUGGUAAAUUUCAUCUAAAGCUAAAUACCGGCCGGAGACCGAUAGCGCACAAGUAGAGUGAUCGAAAGAUGAAAAGCACUUUGAAAAGAGAGUUAAACAGCACGUGAAAUUGUUGAAAGGGAAGCGCUUGCGACCAGACUCGGCCCCGGGGUUCAGCCAGCACUCGUGCUGGUGUAUUUCCCCGGGGGCGGGCCAGCGUCGGUUUGGGCGGCCGGUCAAAGGCCCCAGGAAUGUAUCGCCCUCCGGGGUUGUCUUAUAGCCUGGGGUGCAAUGCGGCCAGCCCGGACCGAGGAACGCGCUUCGGCACGGACGCUGGCGUAAUGGUCGCAAACGACCCGUCUUG